rnacentral:misc_RNA from 1 species
AAGUCGUAACAAGGUUUCCGUAGGUGAACCUGCGGAAGGAUCAUUAACACUUUUAUCCAAUAUAAAAAACUAAACGUGAACUUUUCCCCUCCCUAUAUCAAAACUUUUGUAUUGAUAUAGGCUAACAUUUUAUUUUAUUUCAAAACCACUUUAACUUUUUAUCAUGUCUUUGAAAACAAGACUGACUAACUAAAAAUUUUACUUAAGAUGUCACAUGUUGAUCUCUUAAUUAAUAUUUUUUCUUUACGAAAUAAAUAUUAGUAUAUAAGAACAACUCUUAGCAAUGGAUAUCUUGGUUCUC